GCCCAGGUGGUGAAAUUGGUAGACACGCCAGCUUCAGGUGCUGGUGAUCGCAAGGUCGUGGAAGUUCGAGUCUUCUUCUGGGCACCA
rnacentral:tRNA from 2 species